rnacentral:rRNA from 1 species
GACGAACGCUGGCGGCGUGCUUAACACAUGCAAGUCGAACGGAAAGGCCUGCUUUCCCUUGUGGAUUGCGGGUACUCGAGUGGCGAACGGGUGAGUAACACGUGAGUGAUCUGCCCCCAACUUGGGUAUAAGCCUGGGAAACUGGGUCUAAUUCCCGAUAGUACUGCAGGGUGGUGCCUGUGGUGGAAAACGAUUUUCUAGUGGUUGGGGAUGAGCUCGCGGCCUAUCAGCUUGUUGGUGGGGUAAUGGCCUACCAAGGCGGCGACGGGUAGCCGGCCUGAGAGGGUGGACGGCCACAUUGGGACUGAGAUACGGCCCAGACUCCUACGGGAGGCAGCAGUGGGGAAUAUUGCACAAUGGGCGGAAGCCUGAUGCAGCGACGCCGCGUGGGGGAUGACGGCCUUCGGGUUGUAAACUCCUUUCGACCGCGAGGAAGCCACCUGGUUGGAAGGGUGGUGACGGUAGUGGUAGAAGAAGCACCGGCUAACUACGUG